GACGUCACCCAUUGACUUCCACAGUCCCUGAAAUGAAGCCUGAAUAUUCAGCUCCUGGCCACAGCCAUAUUGGCUGGAGUUAACUCCGCCUCACACGGACGUUCCAAAUAUGGGGGAAAGGGGCGGGACCGAGUUCACCCGCUUUUCCUCCGGUUUGUUUUAGUUCACGCCCACAGCUCUGCCGUCUGCAGCUCCUAAAAGCUAACGGCUAACCACUUCAAUUCUCCAGCAAAGCUGCACCGCGGUGGAUUAUUUACAUCAUGAAUCUUUACAGUUUGGAUUAAUGGUGACCUCAUUUCCAUUUGGCACCAGAAGGACAGUUCAACAAAACCACCACAGCAACGUGAGCUCGACGUGGACCCACAUCACCUGGAUCAGCUGAGGCGGACGAUGGUGAUGGACAUCUUUUAUUUUUAAUUCUACAAGGAAGAGCAGCUCCUGGUUCUCUCAUCACUGUGGAGGACGUGAACGGGCGACGUCUGGAGUCUGGAGCUGUCAUGGGGAUCGGAGAGAACGUCCAGCCGCUGCACACUCUUCAACCCAGCACUAAACUUUUUUUUUUCUUUAAUUUCUUACUGAUUUUAUUUUCAGUAGAUAGAAAUGUACUCUUUAGGAUCAUUUAUUAGGUUCUUUAAAUGUAUAAAAACAGACAGUAUUAUCAUAGAUGAUGGUUUCUAACUAUGACAUGUUUAAAGAGGUCCCUACUUUGAAUAAAGGGAAACUAAUUCUGAAUUUUUAAUGAUGAAUGUUUGUAAUGUUUUGAAUCAUUUCAUCUGCUUCAAAAAUAAAUUUUGUACAGAUCUGACUUUGACCCACAUUUCCUUUUGUCUUACCUAUAUGCUAAAACAGUGAAUACACAGAAGAGACUGGUCACUCAGAUAUGUUAAA